rnacentral:rRNA from 1 species
AGUAACGGCGAGUGAAGCGGCAACAGCUCAAAUUUGAAAUCUGGCUCUUUCAGAGUCCGAGUUGUAAUUUGCAGAGGGCGCUUUGGCUUUGGCAGCGGUCCAAGUUCCUUGGAACAGGACGUCACAGAGGGUGAGAAUCCCGUACGUGGUCGCUAGCUAUUGCCGUGUAAAGCCCCUUCGACGAGUCGAGUUGUUUGGGAAUGCAGCUCUAAAUGGGAGGUAAAUUUCUUCUAAAGCUAAAUACUGGCCAGAGACCGAUAGCGCACAAGUAGAGUGAUCGAAAGAUGAAAAGCACUUUGGAAAGAGAGUCAAACAGCACGUGAAAUUGUUGAAAGGGAAGCGCUUGCAGCCAGACUUGCUUGCAGUUGCUCAUCCGGGCUUUUGCCCGGUGCACUCUUCUGCAGGCAGGCCAGCAUCAGUUUGGGCGGUGGGAUAAAGGUCUCUGUCACGUACCUCUCUUCGGGGAGGCCUUAUAGGGGAGGCGACAUACCACCAGCCUGGACUGAGGUCCGCGCAUCUGCUAGGAUGCUGGCGUAAUGGCUGUAAGCGGCCCGUCUUGAAACACGGACCAAGGAGUCUAACAUCUAUGCGAGUGUUUGGGUGUCAAGCCCGAACGCGUAAUGAAAGUGAACGGAGGUGGGAACCCGCAAGGGUGCACCAUCGACCGAUCCUGAUGUCUUCGGAAGGAUUUGAGUAAGAGCAUGGCUGUUGGGACCCGAAAGAUGGUGAACUAUGCUUGAAUAGGGUGAAGCCAGAGGAAACUCUGGUGGAGGCUCGCAGCGGUUCUGACGUGCAAAUCGAUCGUCAAA